GACGAACCGUGCGAACGUUGUUCGGAUUCCCUGGGCUUAAAGGGCGCGUAGGCGGGUUUUCAAGUCUGGGGUGAAAUCCUCUCGCUCAACGAGAGAACUGCCCUGGAUACUGGAGACCUCGAGGGAGGUAGGGGCAUGUGGAACUUCCGGUGGAGCGGUGAAAUGCGUAGAUAUCGGAAGGAACGCCGGUGGCGAAAGCGACGUGCUGGACCUCUUCUGACGCUGAGGCGCGAAAGCGUGGGGAGCGAACAGG
rnacentral:rRNA from 1 species